rnacentral:rRNA from 1 species
GACAGAGGGUGCAAGCGUUGUUCGGAAUUAUUGGGCGUAAAGGGCGCGUAGGCGGCGACGAAAGUCGGACGUGAAAUCCCUGGGCUCAACCCAGGAAGUGCAUCCGAUACUGCGUUGCUUGAAUCCCGGAGAGGGUGGUGGAAUUCCUGGUGUAGAGGUGAAAUUCGUAGAUAUCAGGAGGAACACCGGUGGCGAAGGCGACCACCUGGACGGAGAUUGACGCUGAGGCGCGAAAGCGUGGGGAGCAAACAGG